rnacentral:rRNA from 1 species
GGGUGCUUCUUUUAAGGAGAAGGCGCAGUGAAAAGGCCCAAGCGACUGUUUAGCAAAAACACAGGUCUCUGCAAAGCCGUAAGGCGAAGUAUAGGGGCUGACACCUGCCCGGUGCUGGAAGGUUAAGGGGAAUGGUUAGGGACUUCGUCCCGAAGCUGUGAACCGAAGCCCCAGUAAACGGCGGCCGUAACUAUAACGGUCCUAAGGUAGCGAAAUUCCUUGUCAGGUAAGU